UCCUUUGUAGUGUAAUGGCUAUCACGGUUCGCUUUCAGUUAAUUUAAUAUUAAUUGCAAGUUCCGAGCAGAUCGGGGUUCGAUUCCCCGCAAGGGAG